UGGGUAACCUGCCUCAAAGAGGGGAAUAGCCUCCCGAAAGGGAGAUUAAUACCGCAUAAUAUGUUUUAAUCGCAUGAUUUUAAUAUCAAAGGAUUUUCUUCGGAACUUCCACUUUGAGAUGGACCCGCGGCGCAUUAGCUAGUUGGUGAGGUAACGGCUCACCAAGGCAACGAUGCGUAGCCGACCUGAGAGGGUGAUCGGCCACAUUGGAACUGAGACACGGUCCAGACCUCCCGUAAGGGACGG
rnacentral:rRNA from 1 species